rnacentral:tRNA from 11 species
GGCCGUGCCGGGAUUUGAACCCUGGACAGAUGACAUGCGAGGCAAGCGUGUUACCACUACUCCACCAACGCACGGC